UAAAACCAUAAUCUUCGGGAGUUCUAGAAGUACCUCAAAAUUGAUAUUGUUAGUGCAAUAAAAACACAAGUAUACCAGUUUCGUCGUCCUUGCAUCUCCGAUCUACUAUAUUUAGGAGGCCUUCACCUGAUGGCACCACCCAGAUGUACGUGUUUGUUAAUUCUUUUAUGAUAUUAUGACUGCAUGAUUCUCAUAUAUCCAGGAUUUCAUUUGCCCGUUGACGCAAUGAAAUGUAUAUGGAAUACGGCUGAUAUGCAAAAGUUGCUUACAAGUUCUAGAUCAGCCUUUUAACUAUAUAUAAGUUAAUCAUGCUCUCUAAUAAGAUAGAUCAAAUAUAUAAGCUUCUUUUUAUCAUUACUGUAAUACAUCAUUGUUUACUAAACACGUUUCUUGAGCUAACUCAAAUCGAAUAAUCUUGCAGGAGCAGGACCUCUUAUUUUGAAUUGCCUCGAUGUUUUGUGUCCGCACUGCCUUAUAAGGCAUUAUGGAUGGACUAUGAUGUGGAGGCCUCCUAUGAUAUCUUGAGUUCGAUUGAAUGCCACCUUUUGAAGUUAUAACAAUAUUGAUGUACUAAACAUUUCUCAGUUUUUCCCGGUAUGACCCAGGAAUCAGAACCAUUAGCCUAUUCUAUUUUAUGUUGCAAAUAGAACAAUUAGCUUAUGUUGCAAAUAUUUUAUCUUCGAUGCUUCAUGCUUCAAAGUAUUUAUACAAAUUUCUCCCAUUUUAUUGAACAUAUGGAAGG
rnacentral:lncRNA from 1 species